GACAGAGGCCUCGAGCGUUAGGCGGAAUCACUGGGCUUAAAGCGUGUGUAGGCGGGCCCGUAAGUGUCUUGUGAAAUCCCCCGGCUCAACCGGGGAACGGCUGGGCAUACUGCGGGUCUUGGGCCGACUAGGGGCAGCCGGAACAAGCGGUGGAGCGGUGAAAUGCGUAGAUAUCGCUUGGAACGCCGAAGGUGAAACAGGC
rnacentral:rRNA from 1 species